AAAAGGAUGCUUAGUUACGGCGAGUGAAGCGGCAACAGCUCAAAUUUGAAAUCUGGCCCCUAGGGCCCGAGUUGUAAUUUGCAGAGGAUGCUUUUGGUGAGGCCCGGCCGAGUUCCCUGGAACGGGACGCCACAGAGGGUGAGAGCCCCGUCUGCCUGGACGCCGAACCUAUGUAAAGCUCCUUCGACGAGUCGAGUAGUUUGGGAAUGCUGCUCUAAAUGGGAGGUAUAUGUCUUCUAAAGCUAAAUAUUGGCCAGAGACCGAUAGCGCACAAGUAGAGUGAUCGAAAGAUGAAAAGCACUUUGAAAAGAGGGUUAAAUAGUACGUGAAAUUGUUGAAAGGGAAGCGCUCAUGACCAGACUUGGGCUUGGCGGAUCAUCCGGCGUUCUCGCCGGUGCACUCUGCCUCGUCCAGGCCAGCAUCAGUUCGCCGCGGGGGAUAAAGGCGUCGGGAAUGUGGCUCCCACGGGAGUGUUAUAGCCCUUCGCAUAAUACCCUGAGGUGGACUGAGGUUCGCGCUCCGCAAGGAUGCUGGCGUAAUGGUCAUCAGCGACCCGUCUUGAAACACGGACCAAGGAGUCGUCUUCGUAUGCGAGUGUUCGGGUGUCAAACCCCUACGCGUAAUGAAAGUGAACGCAGGUGAGAGCUUCGGCGCAUCAUCGACCGAUCCUGAUGUUCUCGGAUGGAUUUGAGUAAGAGCAUACGGGGCCGGACCCGAAAGAAGGUGAACUAUGCCUGUAUAGGGUGAAGCCAGAGGAAACUCUGGUGGAGGCUACGCAGCGGUUCUGACGUGCAAAUCGAUCGUCAAAUAUGGGCCAUGGGGGCGAAAGACCUAAUCGAC
rnacentral:rRNA from 1 species